rnacentral:rRNA from 1 species
GUCUACGACCAUGUCACCCUGAACAUGCCCAAUCUCGUCUGAUCUCAGAAGCUAAGCAGGGUCGGGCCUGCUUAGUACUUGGAUGGGAGACCACCUAGGAAGACCAGGUGCUGUAGGCG